GAUGCCUACGGGGGGCAGCAGUGGGGAAUAUUGGGCAAUGGGCGCAAGCCUGACCCAGCAACGCCGCGUGAAGGAAGAAGGCCCUCGGGUUGUAAACUUCUUUUGUCAGGGACGAAACAAAUGACGGUACCUGACGAAUAAGCCACGGCUAACUACGUGCCAGCAGCCGCGGUAAUACGUAGGUGGCAAGCGUUAUCCGGAUUUACUGGGUGUAAAUGGCGUGUAGGCGGGAGAGCAAGUCUGAUGUGAAAUUC
rnacentral:rRNA from 1 species